rnacentral:rRNA from 1 species
CCCUUAGAUGUUCUGGGCCGCACGCGCGCUACAAUAAUACGCACAGCGAGUAUCACCGAGCUCGAAAGGGCAAGGUAAACAAUAGAAAAGGUACUGUAAUGGUUAUAGAUCCUUGUAAUUAUUGAUCUUCAACGAGGAAUUCCUAGUAAGUAUGUGUCAUCAUCACGCACUGAUUACGUCCCUGCCCUUUGUACACACCGCCCGUCGCUCCUACCGAUUGAGUGAGCCGAUGAAACUGCCGGAUGUGGACUAUUCAUAGUCUGCAGAAGAUAUUUGAAUCGUAGCGCUUAGAGGAAGGAGAAGUCGUAACA